CGAGCAGGUGGCCGCGGCCAUAAUACUUUCAAAAUGACAGAUUAUGAGGCUCCCUGCAUCGAUUUUCUUUGGAUGUGCAAGUCCCUUGGUGAAUUAGACAGAGAAAUAAGCCAGGGUCUGGACACUCGCGUGUCGUAAGGUUAUCCGAACUGUCUUCAAGACCCGCGAAACGCGUCUGUGACGGAAUGGCCCGGAUGCAUCGAUGUGAUUUGCUUCCUGUAUCACAUCGAACCGGCUGCUAUUGAUGCUGCGCUUCGUGGUUCGAGUCCCCACGACAGUCUGCAGUUUUCGCACGUCGUGGUGGCAGGACGUGAAAGAAACCCGAGGCACUUCGAAUUCCUUUUUUUGCACAGACUUUUAUGCCGUUCAGUGUGGCCAGCCGUUGCCUGCCACCUGUAGGUGCUUCGCUCAGCACUGGGUAAUGGCGUGGUCGCGGAGCAGGGGAACGAGUCCGUGGGCUCCACGAAUUGCAUCAUCUGGUGUAAGCUCUGUCAGUCGUGAAGAUCAGUCAGUCCCCUUUGUUUUAUGCGACGUGGGAAAGGCGGUAUGCUUGCGGGGACCAAGCGUGUCGUAAAAGACUUCUGCGCCCACGGGACGCAGGGUCUAGUGCAAGAAACGGUCACUCUGUGUUCAGUCAGUAUGACACGACCGCCCGCAUUUGCUGGGGUGAGUGGCCUUGGCGAAACUCGGAAAAUCAUAGCGAUUGAAUAGACGAAUAUGGACAUCCGCUGUCUCACGCGCUGUGUUUUCUCUGUUUCGUGGACGUUGAUACAUAAUAACUAGCCUGAUGUUACUGAUUUGGCAGAUGGCCUAGACUCAAGCUGCCGAGCUUCUUCGUGUGUAGUCUUUAUGAGCCGCGGCGAACCGAUAUUCUUACCACGAGGAACCACAGCAGCAGAAGGCUGCUUACUCGGUUCUGAAUUUUGAACAGUCGAAUCAUGAAAUGGGC
rnacentral:lncRNA from 1 species